rnacentral:rRNA from 1 species
AACGAACGUUGGCGGCGUGGAUGAGGCAUGCAAGUCGCGGGAAUCCCCAGCAAUGGGGGGAACCGGCGUAAGGGGCAGUAAGGCGUAGGUACCUACCCCCAGGUCCGGGAUAGCCCGCCGAGAGGCGGGGUAAUACCGGAUGACCUCGGGAGAGCAAAGGUGUGAUUCCGCCUGAGGAUGAGUCUACAUCCUAUUAGCUAGUUGGCAGGGUAACGGCCUACCAAGGCGAUGAUGGGUAGCGGGUGUGAGAGCACGACCCGCGUCAUUGGGACUGAGACACUGCCCAGACACCUACGGGUGGCUGCAGUCGAGAAUCUUCGGCAAUGGGCGCAAGCCUGACCGAGCGACGCCGCGUGCGGGAUGAAGGCCUUCGGGUUGUAAACCGCUGUCCGAGGGGAUGAAAUGCAGGUGGGUUCUCCCAUCUGUUUGACAUAGCCUCAGAGGAAGGACGGGCUAAGUUCGUGC